rnacentral:misc_RNA from 1 species
AACAUCGCGCACCUGCGGGAACCUGCGGAGGGAUCAUUAAAAAAAAGAAUCGCAAGAUUCUAUUUUUUAAGAGCUUUACUACUACUUUUUUGUAGGAGUAGAGCUUUUUCCACACUCUGUAAUAUUAAAUCGUCUUUUGACGAAAUCUAUAAAUAAAUAAUAAACUUUCAACAAUGGAUCU